UGAAAGCAUCUAAGCGCGAAGCCCCCCUCAAGAUGAGAUUUCCCACUGACUCGUUCAGGUAAGACCCCUUGCAGAUGACAAGGUAGAUCGGUCCGGAGUGUAAGCACAGCAAUGUGUUCAGCUGACGGAUACGAAUCGGUCGAGGGCUUAACCU
rnacentral:rRNA from 1 species